rnacentral:rRNA from 1 species
CAACUUGAGAGUUUGAUUCUGGCUCAGAACGAACGCUGGCGGCAGGCAUAACACAUGCAAGUCGAGCGAACCCUUCGGGGUUAGCGGCGGACGGGUUAGUAACGCGUGGGAAUAUGCCCAAAGGUACGGAAUAGCCUCGGGAAACUGAGAGUAAUACCGUAUGUGCCC